CGAACGGGUGAGUAACACGUAAGGAAUCUACUAUAAGCGGGGAUAACAUUCGGAAACGGGUGCUAAUACCGCAUAAUAUCUUCUUCCGCAUGGAAGAAGAUUGAAAGACGGCUCUGCUGUCACUUAUAGAUGACCUUGCGGUGCAUUAGUUAGUUGGUGGGGUAAUGGCCUACCAAGACGAUGAUGCAUAGCCGACCUGAGAGGGUGAUCGGCCACAUUGGGACUGAGACACGGCCCAAACUCCUACGGGAGGCAGCAGUAGGGAAUCUUCCGCAAUGGGCGGAAGCCUGACGGAGCAAUGCCGCGUGAGUGAAGAAGGCCUUCGGGUACGUAAAACUCUGUUAUAAGAGAAGAACAAAUUGUAGAGUAACUGCUACAGUCUUGACGGUAUCUUAUCAAGAAAGCCACGGCUAACUACGUG
rnacentral:rRNA from 1 species